rnacentral:rRNA from 1 species
UACGAAGGGGGCUAGCGUUGCUCGGAAUGACUGGGCGUAAAGGGCGCGUAGGCGGCUUGUAUAGUCGGAUGUGAAAUUCCUGGGCUUAACUCCGAAACUGCAUUCGAUACUGCGGUGCUUGAGGACUGGAGAGGAGACUGGAAUUCACGGUGUAGCAGUGAAAUGCGUAGAUAUCGUGAGGAACACCAGAGGCGAAGGCGGUUUCCUGGACAGUUACUGACGCUCAGGCACGAAAGCAUGGGGAGCAAAAGGG